rnacentral:rRNA from 1 species
GCUCAAAGUUGGAACCUGGCUGUCUUAGAUAGUCCGGAUUGUAAACUAAAGAGCGUGAAUCCAGGCAAGCCGGUUGAUCAAGUCCUUUGGAAUGAGGCGCCACUGAGGGUGAGAGCCCCGUAAAUCGACUGAGCAUUUGUCUUUUGUGUUUCGCGUUCAAAGAGUCAGGUUGUUUGGGAAUGCAGCCUAAAGCUGGUGGUAAAUCCCACCUAAAGCUAAAUACAGGCGAGAGACCGAUAGCGAACAAGUACCGUGAGGGAAAGAUGAAAAGUACUUUGAAAAGAGAGUUAAACAGUAUGUGAAAUUGCCAAGAGGGAAGCAUUUGGAGUUAGACUGACUUGAAGUUAAUCAGCUUGGUCUUUGGACUGGGUGUACUUGACUUCUAUGUCUGCCAAUAGCAGUUAGUCCUGGUGGAAAAAACUGAAGGGAAGGUAGUCCUUCGGGAUGUUUAUAGACCUUUGGAAAAUACACUGGGAUUGACUGAGGAAUGCAGUAGAUGCUAUUAAGGCUUCGUCUAGUAGGUGUUAGGUGAAGGUACUUGGUAUUUUCAGCUUGCUGAUGUGCUAGGUUACUUGAGCUUAAUUGCUUGCUAGAA